rnacentral:rRNA from 1 species
GUGUCAGCAGCCGCGGUAAAACGUAGGAAGCGAGCGUUAUCCGGAUUUACUGGGCGUAAAGCGCGUGUAGGCGGUCGGGUAAGUUGGAUGUGAAAGCUCCUGGCUUAACUGGGAGAGGUCGUUCAAUACUACUUGACUUGAGGAUGGGAGAGGGAGGCGGAAUUCCGGGUGUAGUGGUGAAAUGCGUAGAUAUCCGGAGGAACACCAGUGGCGAAAGCGGCCUCCUGGCCCAUAACUGACGCUCAGACGCGAAAGCUAGGGGAGCGAACGGGAUUAGAAACCCCAGUAGUCC